GGGUAUAAAUAGAGCAGCCAGAUUCUUGGCUUUCAUUGCCAAAAGGACUGCUAAAGUGAAAGGAGCAAGAGAGAAUUCUGCUAUAAGAUUUACACUUUGACUGAAUCUACAGUAAAUACAGACGGGUGCACAGCACAUUGUAUUUAAAUAUUUCAAGUGGGCAUUUUGGAAAUCCAUCCCAAAAAAUUCCCCACACCAAAAAUGUCAAAGAUGUUAUAAGUGGUCCGAGAACAACGUAUUUGGCCCAGAGGAAUCAGUCCUAUUUGGGAAAACCAGUAAGAACAACUUUACCUGAGAGAAACACCCCUGAUGAAGUUAAUUUGGACGAAACACGUUGGGUGACAUGCAAGUUGUUACGUCUGAAAUGAACAGAAACACCUAGCCUGAAAGGCACAUUGUUAAUUAAAGAAUUUCAGCUGUUAAAAUAGUGUAUUUGAUUGAAGAAAUACAUUUUUUUUAAGUUUUAAUGGUUUUAAAACUCAUGUUUUAAAUAAAUGCUAUUAAUGGUUA